rnacentral:rRNA from 1 species
AUCUGCCCGAUAGAGGGGAUAACCACUGGAAACGGUGGCUAAUACCGCAUAACGUCCAGACCAAAGAGGGGGACCUUCGGGCCUCUCCUAUCAUGAACCCAAUGGAUUACUAUAGCGGGGUAACGGCCCCCUAGCACAUCCCUACUGGUCUGAGAGAUGACCACCACCUGGACUGAACACGGCCAACUCCUACGGGAGGCAGCAGUGGGGAAUAUUGCACAUGGGCGCGCCUGAUGCASCCRUGCCGCGUGUAUGAAAAGGCUUCGGGUUGUAAAGUACUUUCGCGGRGAGGAAGGGAUGUGUUAAUAACCGCUCAUUGACUUCCCGCAGAAGAAGCACCGGCUAACUCCGUGCCGCACCGCGGAAUACGAGGGUGCAAGCGUUAAUCAAUUACUGGGCGUAAAGCGCACGCGCGGUCUGUUAAUCAAUGUGAAAUCCCCGGGUUACCUGGAACUGCUUUAAACUGGGGGUUGAUCUCGUAAGGGGGGAAAAUUCCGGUGUAUAGUCCACGCCGUAAACGAUGUCGACUUGGAGGUUGUUCCCUUGAGGAGUGGCUUCCGGAGCUAACGCGUUAAGUCGACCGCCUGGGGAGUACGGCCGCAAGGUUAAAACUCAAAUGAAUUGACGGGGGCCCGCACAAGCGGUGGAGCAUGUGGUUUAAUUCGAUGCAACGCGAAGAACCUUACCUACUCUUGACAUCCACGAAUUURGCAGAGAUGCUUAGUGCCUUCGGGAACGUGAGACAGGUGCUGCAUGGCUGUCGUCAGCUCGUGUUGUGAAAUGUUGGGUUAAGUCCCGCAACGAGCGCAACCCUUAUCCUUUGUUGCCAGCGAUUCGGUCGGGAACUCAAAGGAGACUGCCGGUGAUAAACCGGAGGAAGGUGGGGAUGACGUCAAGUCAUCAUGGCCCUUACGAGUAGGGCUACACACGUGCUACAAUGGCGCAUACAAAGAGAAGCGACCUCGCGAGAGCAAGCGGACCUCAUAAAGUGCGUCGUAGUCCGGAUCGGAGUCUGCAACUCGACUCCGUGAAGUCGGAAUCGCUAGUAAUCGUGGAUCAGAAUGCCACGGUGAAUACGUUCCCGGGCC